UACGUAGGGCGCGAGCGUUGUCCGGAUUUAUUGGGCGUAAAGAGCUCGUAGGCGGCUCGUUGCGUCGGCUGUGAAAACCCGCAGCUCAACUGUGGGCUUGCAGCUGAUACGGGCGGGCUGGAGUUCGGUAGGGGAGACUGGAAUUCCUGGUGUAGCGGUGAAAUGCGCAGAUAUCAGGAGGAACACCGGUGGCGAAGGCGGGUCUCUGGGCCGUAACUGACGCUGAGGAGCGAAAGCGUGGGGAGCGAACAGG
rnacentral:rRNA from 1 species